CUAAUUGUGGAUUGGUGAGAACUAAAAACUGCACUCACCACCAUUACCUUUAGACAUUUAUGCCACAGUCAGGCCCGGAUUGGCCAUUUCCCCCGGCGAUUAUCCCAGUGGGCCGAUUGGAGUAUGUGUCCGCCUGGCCUCUGUGGCCCUUCCCCCUCCACCUGCUUAUACAUUGUGAGCGCCGCGGCUGCGGGCCUCUAUCAGGAGAACCAGCCCACCCCUCUAUGCUUUACCAAGCCGCUUGUGAGAGCCCCGGCCACUGGCCGCUAUCAGGAGAGCCUUCCCACCCCCCCGCCCUCUUCAUCACCAGGCUGAUCGUGAGCACCGUGGCCAUUGGCCACUAUCAGGAGAGCCAGCCAGCCCGCCCCCCCCCUCUGUGUCACCAGGCUGCUUGUGAAUUGUGAGCAUUGCACUGCGCUGUGGCCACUGGCCGCUAUCUAGAGAGCUGGCCCACCCCAACCCCACCUGCCUGACUGGAAGAAGAGGUCCGCGCACCAAACGCCACCGACAUCAUCGGUGCGGACCUUGUGCUGGAAGAGAAGGUGCGGCCGCUGUGGGUGCUCGUCCUGCAGCAGGAGAGGUGAACAAAUUAAGACUGCGGAGACCCCGAGCACCGGAAGUAGCCACUGUGCACUCCAGAGUGCAUUCCAGCACCCAGGAAACAUGCAGCAGAGUCGGGCAGAGCAAAUGCGGAGGGAGCUGUACCAUCACCACUGCACACCGUAUCACAAGUGUGGGAGAUUGAAGCCAAACAUGGCAGAGAAGACACCAGCAAAGGCCACACCCCCUUGGGGGGGGGCACGUCUACGGGUGAGUUGCGCAUCCUCUCUAGGACCACGUUAAGCACUGGAUGACUUCCUGGUAAACGAAGACCACCCAUCCCUCAACAAGGCAGCAGCCAGCAGCACCCGGGUGGAGCAGCCCAGAGAUGGAGGGGACGCCCGCUUCAGGGAACCUCCUGUGAUCACCCCCUCCCCAAGCCGGACACAGCAGCCAGCGUCAGGAAAACUGGGGUGGAUACAUCUGCAUUACCCAGGAGCGGUGCCUCUGUGUUCCCCCGGUGUCAGUGGACUGUACAGUGACAGUAGUAGUUAUAGAGGCAGCGGCUGUGCCGGGCGGUGGUCACAGUGAGCAGCCACUCUGGUGCGAUUUGUCAUCACUGCUGCUGUGUUGCCGGGGACGGAGCUGCAUCGCGCUGCUGCAGAUCAGCUAGUGGAAAGCGAGUAGUGGAGCGGAGGGAGGAUGUUAAACGUGGAGAGCCUGGACCGGGUGGAUCUGUGUGAGAGUCUGUUGAUGUGGGUAAGUGUGGAAGCAGCAGCAGCAGGGCUGCCUAAUCCCCCACCUCCAGGCCCUGCACACACUGCCGAC